GCCCUGUAGCACAAGGACAGUGCGUUGGACUUCUAAUUCAAAGGUAGUGGGUCCGAAUCCCACAUGGAAUG